rnacentral:rRNA from 1 species
UACGUAGGUGGCAAGCGUUGUCCGGAAUUAUUGGGCGUAAAGCGCGCGCAGGCGGUCCUUUAAGUCUGAUGUGAAAGCCCACGGCUCAACCGUGGAGGGUCAUUGGAAACUGGGGGGACUUGAGUACAGAAGAGAAGAGUGGAAUUCCACGUGUAGCGGUGAAAUGCGUAGAGAUGUGGAGGAACACCGGUGGCGAAGGCGACUACCUGGCCUGUUCUUGACGCUGAGGCGCGAAAGCUAGGGGAGCAAACGGG